CCCUUAGAUGUUCUGGGCCGCACGCGCGCUACACUGAUGCAUUCAACAAGCCUAGCCUUGACCGAGAGGUCCGGGUAAUCUUUGAAACUGCAUCGUGAUGGGGCUAGAUUAUUGCAAUUAUUAAUCUUCAACGAGGAAUGCCUAGUAAGCGUGAUUCAUCAAACCGCGUUGAUUACGUCCCUGCCCUUUGUACACACCGCCCGUCGCUCCUACCGAUUGAAUGUGUUGGUGAGGAGCUCGGAUUGGCAGCAGUUGGUGGUUCGCCACCGGCUAUUGCUGAGAAGUCCUCCAAACCGCCCCAUUUAGAGGAAGGAGAAGUCGUAACA
rnacentral:rRNA from 1 species